GCCUUCGUCGUGUAAUGGCCAGGACACUCGGCUUGUAUUCGAAGUCCGAGGUUCGAGUCCCUGCGAGGGCA
rnacentral:tRNA from 1 species